AGGAUGAACGCUGGCGGCGUGCCUAACACAUGCAAGUCGAACGUCCUGUCUCGCAAGAGGCAGGGAGUGGCGGACGGGUGAGUACCACGUGGGUUAUCUACCGUGAGGUGAGGAAUACCGGCGAGAAAUCGCCGACAAGACCGCAUAGCCUCGGUGCAAGCCGAGGAAAGCUUUCUCGAGAGAGGGAGCGCCACACGAGGAGCCUGCGCCCGAUUAGCUAGCUGGUGGAGUAACGGUUCACCAGGGCGACGAUCGGUAGCUGGUCUGAGAGGACGAUCAGCCACACUGGGAUUGAGAACGGCCCAGACUCCUACGGGGGGCAGCAGUGAGGAAUUUUCGUCAAUGGGGGCAACCCUGAACGAGCAACGCCGCGUGCAGGAAGAAGGUUUUCGGAUCGUAAACUGUCUUUUCGUCGGGGAAGAGGAACGGACGGUACCCGAGGAAUCGACGCCCCGGCUAACUACGUGCCAGCAGCCGCGUAA
rnacentral:rRNA from 1 species